AACCCAUGGUGAAGGCACUUUCUCAACAAGUCUUUGUAUAUCUCCCAUACGUCAUAAAGAGUUUCUAAAUCCAUCUGCACAAAAGAAGAGAUAUCAUUCCUUAAUUU
rfam:Gossypium arboreum cultivar AKA8401 contig_72324_1, whole genome shotgun sequence.